CCGGCCGGGAACUCAAAGGAGACUGCCAGUGAUAAACUGGAGGAAGGUGGGGAUGACGUCAAGUCAUCAUGGCCCUUACGACCAGGGCUACACACGUGCUACAAUGGCGCAUACAAAGAGAAGCGACCUCGCGAGAGCAAGCGGACCUCAUAAAGUGCGUCGUAGUCCGGAUUGGAGUCUGCAACUCGACUCCAUGAAGUCGGAAUCGCUAGUAAUCGUGGAUCAGAAUGCCACGGUGAAUACGUUCCCGGGCCUUGUACACACCGCCCGUCACACCAUGGGAGUGGGUUGCAAAAGAAGUAGGUAGCUUAACCUUCGGGAGGGCGCUUACCACUUUGUGAUUCAUGACUGGGGUGAAGUCGUAACAAGGUAACCGUAGGGGAACCUGC
rnacentral:rRNA from 6 species